GGAAGAACUAAGACGUAGCUUACAACCACUCAGGGGCAGUUCCGGAUUCAGAGCAGGAGAGCCUUUAGGAAUCACCGUCUGCCCUCUGCCCUUAUCACACCAAUGGAGGUGGGGGAUGCUUGUGGCCAUGCUCCAACUUCCCUGGGCCUAAGAGGGUAAAGAGCUUUGGGGCCUGACAGUGCCACUUGAGUCUGGGCUUUCCUGUGGACCUGCUGUGGCCAAGAUGAAAGAAGGCUGCACUGGUAGGAAGGCUCCAGGUAAGCUGCCUCCUUGUUUAUUCUUCCCUUGGGGAACCACUUGGUUUGGCCCUUAUUGGAAGGGCACAAGGGGAGCAGAACCCAGUGGUAGCAGGGGCUGAACAGGGUGUGUGCCUGAGGGCGUGUGUGUGUGUGUGUGUUUGCCAAGUGUGUGUGUGGCAACCCCCAGGCCAAUGCCCAUCCCCAUGCCAUGCUGGGCCUGCGAUGCUGAGGUGCUUCAGACACAGCCCACCCCAGGAGGCCCAGUCUGAGGAGGGAAAAGAGCACAGGUCCUGCUGGCGUCCCCACAGGGCAGGGCAUCCAGAGGCAUCUCUGAGGGUCUUGGCUUGGGGUCAGUGAAGAAGGGAGACGAGUGCCAACUUUGGCCCAAUCAAGAGAGAGUAGUGAUCCCACCCCCUAAUCUGAAUAAUGACCCCACCUCCAAUUCUGAUGCCUUGGGAGAUAAAUCCCAUCAAACAUCACAGCACCAAGGACUUUGCCCUCUAUGCACUUCCACCUUCAUUCCCAUUUGAGUUGUUCAGCCCCUUCUCACCGAGGUCUUGCCUCCCCUCCUGGCCCCUGCUAGGGCAUGGUUCCCCCUCUCAGGACCCUCAGCCCUGCAAUCCCUCUGUCAGUGGCCCCUGCACAUUCUUUCCUUUUCCACUGCAGGACAGAGAUAGGGCUGGGUGUCUCCCUGGCUUCCAGCACAUGGCCCCGAGAGCCCUUGUGCAUGUCACACACAGGUGCGUGAAUGAGGGGUGCUCACUGAGAUGCUGUGACCCCAAAACCUAACAGUGCCAACUGGUCCAGCAGCCCAAGGAGCUUGGAAGGAACCAGGAAGGUGGAUCAGGGCCAUCACCUGCUGGGCCGGGAGCUCUUUCUUUAAAGCCUCAGGCUCUGGCCUCUCCACACCUUAUUGGAAGUACGAGGGGAGCAAAGCCCAGCUGUAGCAGGGACUGAACAGGGUGUGUGCGUGAGGGCAUGUGUGGACCUCCCCUCUGCACUUCAGCAUCCUCCCUUCCUCCCAAAGAAACCAAUGCCUGGCCCAACCUUUAGGAGUGAGCGUGUGUGUAUCUGUGCAAGCACACACAUGCGCACAUGCAGCUUUCACACUCACCUUCCUCCUCCGUGCUUUCUGGCUCCUCCAAUAAAGUGCAGUCAAUGAGGGAUAUGACUCCAUUCUGAAAAAGAGCAGCAGGGGCCGCUUUGGAUUGAGGGAUAGAUGUGCUGGUUUAGGAGUCCCUGGAUGAUAGGGUUGGAAGGGACUUUAACAAGGAGCAUCCAUGUAUACACACAGAUGUAUGGAUAUAUUGUACACCAAGUGGGUAUUUCGCUUUUUCAGUGGAAGGACCUUAUCUUCAUAUAAGAAGCUCAAUGAAGUGGGUCAAAGGGGAUUGUCUCAGAGAGGCCUUCCCCAAACCAAGGUUGAGUUCUGGCCAUGGCUGGAGCGGCUGAACAGACAGCAUGAGCAAAGGCCCUGGGCCUAUGAGGAGUCAGAAGCGGGUCUGAGAUGCUCAUUCCCUCCACCUUUAGGGAUGAGCUGGUUAGCUGAGCGUCAGGGCCUCACGCAGGGCUGCAAGGUCCUGAGGCUCUGUGUGGAGCAGCUCAGCAGCCUCCAGGGCUCCUGUGCUGGAGGAGGGGACGCCUGAGAAGGUCACUGGGAGGGGCUCUGUCAGAGCUCCUUUGGGGUGGAGAUGAAAGAAAGGCUCCGAGUGAUGCCUUGGCCCUCAGCCAGUGGAGGCCCUCUACCCUGCCCCUCACAUACACCACACACAGACACAUACACACACACCACACACACAGACACAAAAACACAUACCACACACACAGACAAACACAUAUCUCACACAUAGACACACACAGAUACACACAUCACACAUGCAAACACACACACACACACACAUAUACACACCACACACAUCACACGUACAUACACAGAGACACACGUACACAAAAAUACACCACACAGACACACACACACAUACACAUAUACCACACCCACCCACCACAUACAUACAUAUAAACAUACACAGAUAUACACAUAGAUACACAGACACAUACCACACACAUAUCCACCUCACCUGUACACAGAAAGACAAUACAUAUACACACAUACAUAUGCUAUAUACCAUACACACACACAAUGAACACAUACAAAUGCACAGAGACACAACACACAUAGAGACAAACACAUACACACACUAUACACAAAUACACACAUCAUAUACACAAAUACAGACACACAUAUAUACACACACAUACAUACACACACCACACACACAGACACAAACACAUAUACACAUACAUACAUACUGAUAUGGUUUGGCUGUGCCCCCACUCAAAUCUCAUCUUGAAUUGUAGCUCCCAUAAUCCCCAUGUGUCAUGGGAGGGACCCAGUGGGAGGUAAUUGAAUCAUGGGGGUAGAUUUUUCCCAUGCUAUUCUUGUGAUAUUGAAUAAGUAUCACAAGAUCUGAUAGUUUUAUAAAGGGCAGUUCCCCUGCACAUGCUCUCUUGCCUGCUGCCGUGUAAGACAUACCUUUGCUCCUCCUUUGCCUUCCACCAUGAUUGCGAGGCCUCCUCAGCCAUGUGGAACUGUGAACCCAUUAAACCUCUUUUUCUUUGUAAAUUACCCAGUCUCAGGUAUUUCUUCAUAGCAGUAUGAAAAUGGACUAAUACACACAGAGAGAUAUAAACACAUACAGACACACACACAUAUACAUACACACCAUGCACACAUACACACACAUGCAUAUACACAUACACACACACACACCACAUAUACAAACACACAGACACAAAAACACCACACAUACAUACACACAAACACACACAGACACACACACAUGCCUUUUAGGGAUUUGUCCAGGCCCUCUGGCUCCUCUGCCCAGGUGCCCAGUGUGGGGAAUCUGAGGCCUUCAAUUCUCACCUUCCCAUCUCCUAGGAUUUCCCUAGUGGAAAAUCAGUCAAGUUUUGCUCGCUCCAACUGGCCAAACUAUGGGGUGUGUGUAUAUCUAUGUGUGUGUGCAUGCACAUGUCUCCGACACCCCUGCCCACCACCUGGGCCCAUAGACCCUAUGGCCAGGACAGCGCCUGCAUGACCCUGGCUGGGCAGCCCCCAAGCCCCUCUCCCAUAGCCCUUACCUUGGUCAGGUGAAGCUUCCCUCCAGAGCCUCUGGUACAGAUAAUCAGAUGCUUAGAAAACAGGAAGCACUGUCGUUCACCCUCUUUCUUUAGGGAGAGAGACCCCAGGCGCCCCCUGGUGAUCUUGCCCUUUUCAGACAUGGGCACCUGGAUGAGGGAACCUGUGGGUGGAGGAGAGAGACCCUGAGCCCAUCUCCUGGGAUGACCUUUGCCUCUGACCCAGCCUUGAAGGUUGAGAUGCUGGGGCAGCAGCAGUGGGACAAGUCCAUUCUGGUUCCCAGUGGCAAAUGUGCCCCUGGGAUGUUCCUUUAUGCCUCUCUGCAGGGCCAGAUGGCUGGGGAUUGAGAGGUGAUCAGGGAAGCUCCAUGCAGGGCCCACUGACAUCCCAGCCAGGGGCUAGGGGCUAAGCCAGCAAAGGAACCCCAUGUGGUGAGAGUGAAGGGCUGGGCUGAGGUCUGGGGAUGGCAGGGAGCUGAACAAGUUGGAAGCUGGCUGCAGGCCCCGAGGGGUUAACAAGAUACAUUGCACUCCUGCUGGGAACUGCUUAGGGCAAACCCUGCCUCCCAUCCUAUUUGUGAAAAA